AGAGUUUGAUCCUGGCUCAGAACGAACGCUGGCGGCAUGCCUAACACAUGCAAGUCGAACGAAGCCUUCGGGCUUAGUGGCGCACGGGUGCGUAACGCGUGGGAAUCUGCCCUUGGUUCGGAAUAACAGUUAGAAAUGACUGCUAAUACCGAAUGAUGUCUUCGGACCAAAGAUUUAUCGCCCAAGGAUGAGCCCGCGUCGGAUUAGCUAGUUGGUGAGGUAAAAGGCUCACCAAGGCGACGAUCCGUAGCUGGUCUGAGAGGAUGAUCAGCCACACUGGGACUGAGACACGGCCCAGACUCCUACGGGAGGCAGCAGUGGGGAAUAUUGGACAAUGGGCGAAAAGCCUGAUCCAGCAAUGCCGCGUGAGUGAUGAAGGCCUUAGGGUUGUAAAGCUCUUUUACCCGGGAUGAUAAUGACAGUACCGGGUGAAUAAGCCCCGGCUAACUCCGUG
rnacentral:rRNA from 1 species